UUAAGCGACUAAGCGUACACGGUGGAUGCCCUGGCAGUCAGAGGCGAUGAAGGGCGUGCUAAUCUGCGAUAAGCGCCGGUAAGGUGAUAUGAACCGUUAUAACCGGCGAUACCCGAAUGGGGAAACCCAGUGUGAUUCGUCACACUAUCAUUAACUGAAUCCAUAGGUUAAUGAGGCGAACCGGGGGAACUGAAACAUCUAAGUACCCCGAGGAAAAGAAAUCAACCGAGAUUCCCCCAGUAGCGGCGAGCGAACGGGGAGGAGCCCAGAGCCUGAAUCAGCAUGUGUGUUAGUGGAAGCGUCUGGAAAGGCGCGCGAUACAGGGUGACAGCCCCGUACACAAAAGCGCAUGUGCUGUGAGCUCGAUGAGUAGGGCGGGACACGUGGUAUCCUGUCUGAAUAUGGGGGGACCAUCCUCCAAGGCUAAAUACUCCUGACUGACCGAUAGUGAACCAGUACCGUGAGGGAAAGGCGAAAAGAACCCCGGCGAGGGGAGUGAAAAAGAGCCUGAAACCGUGUACGUACAAGCAGUGGGAGCACCCUUCGGGGUGUGACUGCGUACCUUUUGUAUAAUGGGUCAGCGACUUAUAUUCUGUAGCAAGGUUAACCGUAUAGGGGAGCCGGAGGGAAACCGAGUCUUAACCGGGCGUUAAGUUGCAGGGUAUAGACCCGAAACCCGGUGAUCUAGCCAUGGGCAGGUUGAAGGUUGGGUAACACUAACUGGAGGACCGAACCGACUAAUGUUGAAAAAUUAGCGGAUGACCUGUGGCUGGGGGUGAAAGGCCAAUCAAACCGGGAGAUAGCUGGUUCUCCCCGAAAGCUAUUUAGGUAGCGCCUCGUGAAUUCAUCUCCGGGGGUAGAGCACUGUUUCGGCUAGGGGGCCAUCCCGGCUUACCAACCCGAUGCAAACUGCGAAUACCGGAGAAUGUUAUCACGGGAGACACACGGCGGGUGCUAACGUCCGUCGUGAAGAGGGAAACAACCCAGACCGCCAGCUAAGGUCCCAAAGUCAUGGUUAAGUGGGAAACGAUGUGGGAAGGCCCAGACAGCCAGGAUGUUGGCUUAGAAGCAGCCAUCAUUUAAAGAAAGCGUAAUAGCUCACUGGUCGAGUCGGCCUGCGCGGAAGAUGUAACGGGGCUAAACCAUGCACCGAAGCUGCGGCAGCGAACGUAUCACCCAAGACAACUUUACGGAGUUGACGAUUGACGGAGCGAAGCGACGUCAAAGCGUUCAUUAAAGUCGAGUUGGCUUAGGGAUACGUUCGUUGGGUAGGGGAGCGUUCUGUAAGCCUGUGAAGGUGUGUCGUGAGGCAUGCUGGAGGUAUCAGAAGUGCGAAUGCUGACAUAAGUAACGAUAAAGCGGGUGAAAAGCCCGCUCGCCGGAAGACCAAGGGUUCCUGUCCAACGUUAAUCGGGGCAGGGUGAGUCGACCCCUAAGGCGAGGCCGAAAGGCGUAGUCGAUGGGAAACGGGUUAAUAUUCCCGUACUUGGUGUUACUGCGAAGGGGGGACGGAGAAGGCUAUGUUGGCCGGGCGACGGUUGUCCCGGUUUAAGCGUGUAGGUGUGUGUUCCAGGUAAAUCCGGUUCACUUUAACACUGAGGCGUGACGACGAGGCACUACGGUGCUGAAGCAACAAAUGCCCUGCUUCCAGGAAAAGCCUCUAAGCAUCAGGUAACAUCAAAUCGUACCCCAAACCGACACAGGUGGUCAGGUAGAGAAUACCAAGGCGCUUGAGAGAACUCGGGUGAAGGAACUAGGCAAAAUGGUGCCGUAACUUCGGGAGAAGGCACGCUGACACGUAGGUGAAGUGAUUUACUCAUGGAGCUGAAGUCAGUCGAAGAUACCAGCUGGCUGCAACUGUUUAUUAAAAACACAGCACUGUGCAAACACGAAAGUGGACGUAUACGGUGUGACGCCUGCCCGGUGCCGGAAGGUUAAUUGAUGGGGUCAGCGCAAGCGAAGCUCCUGAUCGAAGCCCCGGUAAACGGCGGCCGUAACUAUAACGGUCCUAAGGUAGCGAAAUUCCUUGUCGGGUAAGUUCCGACCUGCACGAAUGGCGUAAUGAUGGCCAGGCUGUCUCCACCCGAGACUCAGUGAAAUUGAACUCGCUGUGAAGAUGCAGUGUACCCGCGGCAAGACGGAAAGACCCCGUGAACCUUUACUAUAGCUUGACACUGAACAUUGAGCCUUGAUGUGUAGGAUAGGUGGGAGGCUUUGAAGUGUGGACGCCAGUCUGCAUGGAGCCGACCUUGAAAUACCACCCUUUAAUGUUUGAUGUUCUAACGUGGACCCGUAAUCCGGGUUGCGGACAGUGUCUGGUGGGUAGUUUGACUGGGGCGGUCUCCUCCUAAAGAGUAACGGAGGAGCACGAAGGUUGGCUAAUCCUGGUCGGACAUCAGGAGGUUAGUGCAAUGGCAUAAGCCAGCUUGACUGCGAGCGUGACGGCGCGAGCAGGUGCGAAAGCAGGUCAUAGUGAUCCGGUGGUUCUGAAUGGAAGGGCCAUCGCUCAACGGAUAAAAGGUACUCCGGGGAUAACAGGCUGAUACCGCCCAAGAGUUCAUAUCGACGGCGGUGUUUGGCACCUCGAUGUCGGCUCAUCACAUCCUGGGGCUGAAGUAGGUCCCAAGGGUAUGGCUGUUCGCCAUUUAAAGUGGUACGCGAGCUGGGUUUAGAACGUCGUGAGACAGUUCGGUCCCUAUCUGCCGU
rnacentral:rRNA from 1 species